UGCAUAACAAAGCUUACCCUAUCAUUCCACCUCCACACACAGAUAUCUUAAAUAAGUCUAUCCGGAAAUGAAGCUCUUAUUGCGGAUCCGUGUAAGACCUUUGCCCGCGGGGCCUAACGGGCAUACUAUAUUGUCAAACAAAUUGUUCCGGAGGAGGAGCAGGAGGAUUUCAAAUGCCACACAAAGGAGGAAUCGGAAAGAGAAGAUCAAUAAUAAGGGGAUCAAUAAUAAGGGGAAAUUGAAGGCACGCGUAGAACGUUUGAGAGCUGAAAUGGUAGAGAUUGAUGAAGAACAAAAGAAAAUCAAAGAGGGAAAAAGACAAAUCAGAAACAAAUAUCAAGCGCUAAAGGCAGAACAAGAGCAACUAAGGAUGGAGACCAAUCUCAUCUCACAGCAUAGCCUCAGUAUCCAACAACGUCUCAUUCUACUCUUCAAAAUCUUCAAAACCAAAACUUAACAACGAUUUUGCAAAAGCAGCUCAACUCACUCAGUCUCUCCGUGAUUUAAUAGCAAAUCAAAAGGUGCCAAAGUGAGGUGUAUGAGUGCUAGCUCCUCCGGCAGAUAGUAUUGAACACGUACGUACGUACGUGAGGAUGGAGAACUAUAAAAGUCACGACAUUUUCCACCUUCUCAGUCAUUGCAUGUGCCUGCAACUUGGGAUCUAAAUGUUUGAAUUUCAAAAGCCUUUUAUUUUAUUAUAGUAUUGACUCGAUUUAUUGUAGUAUUGAUAACUUAAGUCAUAUAAACUAAGAUGAUCCAUAUUUAUUUGUAAAAUCGAUAUAUGUUGGAACUUGGAAUUGGUAUUUGAUUAUUGUGUGUACAUCGUGGUAAUUCAUAUAGUCACAUCCAUAGUAGUUCCUGUUUUUAAAA